GUAGCUGGGGAAUGUGGGGAAGCAGAUGGACUAUUUUUUGAGCACCAUUACUGUAUCUGCCAAGGCUGAUACAAGCAGUUAAUCCUCUGGUCUAUUUCUUUUAAAGGAGAGUUGAGAAUUAGCUUUUCUGUUUUUUCCACCCCUCCCCUUCUCUCUACACACCUACAAGGUGUCUGCUGUGGGGCAGCUACUGUAGCAGGCAUGAGGACUACAGAGAGAAAAAUAAGUACUCUAUGCGCUGAAAAUGCUUAGAGUCCCAGCCAGGGACACACCCAAAGAGGAGCAGCUUUAGUUCAAAGCAUGUGGAUGCCGGGUUUCGGGGUUAGCCGAGUUUCCUAGCACCUCCCCAAGGGACUCGCUCUCCUUCACACAAUGGUUUUGCAAGGUCCUGCCCCAGGGCUCUGCCGGGCUCAGCUUUGAAAGAAAAUGCCAUUCAGCAUCACCAAUCUAUGCCCCUUGGCCUGAGCAACCGUGCAAGGACUGACCUACAAAAUCCUAAAUGUUACUAGUUGCCAGUUCUGACUGUAAAGUCUCAGACUUACCCACCUGCCCUUUCUGAGAGUUCUUGAUUGGAGACGAUCUGGGGGAUCAUAUCCAGAUGACAGCCAGCAUGUCUCUGAUAUUGACAGAUGUAUUAAAUCUGUUUCUCCCUUACAAUGGUAAAUUCCAUUUUCCUGGGCACAUUUUGUACGUUUAUCCUGCCUAACUUGGGUUCUCAUCCUUAAAUGCUCCUUAUGACAAAAGCUUCACUAAACAUAAGAACACAAGUUGGAAUGUGAAAUCUGUGCUCUGAUCAUUCAGAGCGGGGCCAAGCUACAGUGAGGGGUGGGUGACCUGGCUGGGGGCAGCCCCAUGGCUUUUUCUGCUGCCCUCGGUCUCUGCCACCUUGGGAAGGUCACCGCUCCUCUCUGGGCCUGUUUCUUUGGCCAGAAAAAGAAAGAGCUGCCAAAAUUAUCACGCGGGUUCCCCCCAGGCCUGAAAUUCCGGGCUCCUGUGGACAUAGCAGCGCUGCAGCCUCCCUGGUCCUGGAGUCCUGGGGAAGGGGAGGGAAGGAGAAGCGAGCCAAGUGUCAGCUGUAUUUCUCCAGGACAGGGAGUCGUUCAGGGAGUCCCUUGCCGGCACUUUUUUUUUUUCCUUUUGAUGAAAUUAAUUAUGAACACUGCCUGGGGUCAUUGGACUCCGGAGAUACAUGUCAAGAUAAAAUAUUUCAGAAACACUUAUAUUUAAUAAUUUAAUACGGUGGUUCACAUUUGGGUGCAACAAAGGGAAUUAUCGAUAAUUGCAAAUUUUAAAGAGGCAGGUCAAAGCCCAGCAAAGUAUAGGGGAUCAUGGGACAAAAAUCAGGAAGGAUGGCAGAGGAUUUUGUUCAGUAAGACCCAAGGGCCUGAGGUUAGGAUGAGGAGCGGGGUCAUUCAUGUGCUUUGUAAAGAAGUCAACUUCUGAAACCUUCUUAAGGGGCAACGCUUGGUACCUCAGCUGGAAGAAGAAAGAGAGCAAGUUGGUCUGGAGUGUUAUUUCUGGACAGUUCCUUGCUCUCUGUAAGUACACAACCUUCUUCCCCAUUUCUCUCUCUGCCACUGACAUUUAGAAAUUUGCACUCUUCCCCUCCUACCUAACUGAUCCAGGGCUCAGGGGAAUUCCAGGCUUCAGGCUAGUCUGCCCAGUGAUACCACAUUUAUUUACAUGGAAUGUAAAGAGAAGUCCACUGAUUGCUAUUAAUAACUAAACAAAGUUAUCCUGGAGACACUGCAGUUUCUGGCCCCACCCAAGGCAAAAGAACCAAUGAGGACUUUUUAAAAACAUUACUUUUUAUGGGUAUAUAGUAAAGGACUUUUUAAAAAUGAAAAUGAACCCAUUGUUAGCUUUGAUUUUGUGGGUGCCAAAGUCUAAGGUGUUUUGGGUUUGUACUCAGUCUGAACGAGGAUUUUUUUUUGCAUAGUUUCCCCUUUCUAACACUAUUGCAUUAAUAUUUAGCAAUUUGUACUAAGGUAGAAACUGUCAAUCAAGAGUAGUUCAUUUUUGCAUUGUUUCCAGUCUUAGGGAAAAGCAUUUAAUCUUUCACGAUUACUUAUGACAUUAGCUGUAAGUUUUUAUGUAGAUGCUCCUUAAAAUGUCAAUGAAAUUUCCCUCUAUUCCUAGUUUGCAAAAUGUUUUUACCUGGAAUAGAUGUUAGAUUUUGUCAAAUGCUUUUGCUGUAUCUAGUGAAAUAAUCACAUGUCUCUUUGUUAGUUUAUUAAUAUAGUGUACUUCAUUAAUUGAUUUUUGAAUAUUAAAGCCCUAGGAUAAACCUUACGUGGUCAUGAUACAUCACUCAUUCAUUCAUAUAUAUAUAUAUAUACACACACACACACACACACACACAUAGAGAUACACACAUAUAUAUAAUUGCAUUUGAUUUGCUCAAAUUCAUAAAGAAUGUUUGCAUCUAUGUUUAUGAGGAAUAUGCAUCUGUAGUUCUCUUUCCUUGUAACAUUUUUGUCUGGUUUUGAUAUCAAAGUAAUGC
rnacentral:lncRNA from 1 species